UACAGAGGGGGCAAGCGUUGUUCGGAAUUACUGGGCGUAAAGGGCGCGUAGGCGGCCUUCUAAGUCGAACGUGAAAUCCCCGGGCUCAACCCGGGAACUGCGUCCGAUACUGGAAGGCUUGAAUUCGGGAGAGGGAUGCAGAAUUCCAGGUGUAGCGGUGAAAUGCGUAGAUAUCUGGAGGAAUACCGGUGGCGAAGGCGGCAUCCUGGACCGACAUUGACGCUGAGUGAGCGAAAGCUAGGGGAGCAAACGGG
rnacentral:rRNA from 1 species